AACGUAGGUGGCGAGCGUUAUCCGGAUUUACUGGGCGUAAAGCGUGUGCAGGCGGGUUUUCAAGUGGUGUAUGAAAUCGCUCGGCUAAACCGGGCGGGGUUAUGCCAGACUGAAAGCCUGGAGUGCGAGAGAGGGGCGUGGAAUUCCGGGUGUAGUGGUGAAAUGCGUAGAGAUCCGGAGGAACCCCAGAGGCGAAGGCGGCGCCCUGGCUCGCAACUGACGCUCAGACACGACAGCAUGGGGAGCGAACGGG
rnacentral:rRNA from 1 species